CCCCUCUCUUUGGUUUAUUAAUGAUGUGGUUUAUUUGAUUAAUGACGGUGAUUUUUCACUUAAACCUCGUCGUCCUCCAAACAAUCUGAAACAAACAAACAAACAAACAAGAAGAAAGUCGAUUUAAAUCAAAAAAAAAUUACAAGGGAAAAAAAAACUCAAUUUUUGCAAUUUUAUUUGGAUAUAAUUUUGAUUAAAAUGGUCCAUUUAUUCCUAAAAAACUUUUUAAUAUUAAUUUAUUAAACAUUUAUAAUUGCAUCUCUCAGGAUCACGUUAUGGUGGGUCCGACGGCCAGCUUGGAGUGACCGACAGUUCCGCCGAGUAACCAGCCUCUCAUUUAAGUGGAGGCGGCUAUGCGUGAUGUUGCUCACCGCGUUUAGGAUUGCGAUAGAAGAGGAAAGGAGUGAUCGCGAGACACCACCGACAAGCGGUGUGUGUGGCAGAGCGACGAGUCAUGUACCACGUUUUCGGCGACCGCUGAUCACUCGAGAGAGGGGUACGAGUGUGCGUUAUUCUAUUUACGAAUGUCGCGACAGUCUGGAAUGGCUUCGAGGUGGAAGACAGACUUGAAUUAUGUAUGGAGUAGUAGUAGUAGUAGUCCGAUUCAAUGAAAGAGGGGGAAAACAUCAUAGCCGGCUAUUGCCCCCUCCACGUGUAGCUUUCCACAAUCGUCACAUAAAGGGAUGAUUAGGCUGAAAUGACAGCUUACAUUAUCCUCUGUGAGAAAGUUACAUACCACACGAUCUAAGGGGAUUAGAGAUAUAUCUCAAAUGUACCGCAAGUCCCAUAUGAGAGGGCGUAAAGAUAGAAGGCUCGAAUCUCAUGCUAUGUUCGAGUCGCAAGGACCAAUAGAGAGGGCGUAAAUUCUUCCAACGCUGUGGACUGGGCUUAUUGCGGAGGAUUAGAGGGAGGAUUAGGCACCUGGAUAUUAGUCCUCAUAUCAGCUCCAUCGGUCGGCGCGCAGUUGUCCUUCACGUGAAUCCCUGCGGGGGCCGCGGCGGCUCUCCCGCCCCUCGGUUUGACAAAUGCAGUGGUCUGUGUGCUGCGUUUGGCGGAAAGGCUCCUGUUGCAUCGCGACGAGGGGACAAGUGUUGCCCCGUUUCGGCUUCGUCGUUGCUAUCCCUUUGUCGCCAUCCGAUGCUCGGCCCCGCGGCUCCGGCGAGCUUGUUACGUGCGACAUCAAGAAAGGGGAGGAAGAGGGAACGAGGAAAUGGAGUUGGAGGAGGACGGGGGUAGGAAGAGAGAAUGGGCAUGCGUGGAUUGCUCCCUGCUGGGCCAUGCGUUGCACGUGAACUGCCUCGUGGCUUCUCUUGGGCUUCUGCAGCUCGCUGCGCGCUCGGCGUUCCCAGCAUCCGCGAAUCUCCCGGACCGAGGCUCGGGAAAGAACUUUUCCGCCAAUACAUUCUCG
rnacentral:lncRNA from 1 species